UACAGAGGUGGCAAGCGUUGUUCGGAAUUACUGGGCGUAAAGGGCGCGUAGGCGGCUCGCUAAGUCGGGUGUGAAAACUCUGGGCUCAACCCAGAGCCUGCAUUCGAAACUGACGAACUAGAGUUCUGGAGGGGAAAGCGGAAUUCCUGGUGUAGCAGUGAAAUGCGUAGAUAUCAGGAGGAACACCGGUGGCGAAGGCGGCUUUCUGGACAGAAACUGACGCUGAUGCGCGAAAGCUAGGGGAGCAAACAGG
rnacentral:rRNA from 1 species